rnacentral:miRNA from 1 species
AUACAAGUCACUUAGGAAUCUUAGAAAAAUGCAGAUUCUGAUUCAGUGAGUCUCAGGUGAGGUUUAAGAGGCUACAUUCCUAACAAGAUACCAGCUGAUGCUGAC